GGGAGGAGGUGCUAGGCUGUUUGCUGGUUGCUAGCUGCGGCUGCUCGCCCGGCCUCCCGGCCGUUUCAUUGUCACCGGGCCUCGGAGUCAGCGCCGGGGCCGGGGGCGUGAAGUCGCCGGCCCGAAGCCUGGGCCCCGCCGGUCCCCGCCUGGAGGGCCCCGCGCACCCCUCGCCGUUCGGCCCCGCAGGCCCAGAGUCCCAGGCCCGACCCGCGCAGGGCCUACUUGUCCACCAUGAAAGGCUCCAGGGCCCUCAGCGGCCCCUCCGGCCCUCCCGAGGGCAGCCCGGAAAGCAUGGACCUGAGUCUGACAGGCCUCCCUCCGCCCAUGUCCCGGCGUCCCAACAGUGCCUCCACCGCCAAGCCCAUCGCCCGCUCCAUCUCUGUGGUCACUGGCAGCGAGCCAAGGAGGAAGAUGCUGGAGGCCCCAGGGCCCGGAGGCUCCCGGGCCAUCAGCAACCUUCGCAGAUCUAACAGUGCCACGCAGGUCAACCAACCACAAGCCAACCAGGCAUGGCCUGGCCCCCUAAGGCCAGAAGAGCCCCCGGACUUCCUGACACUCUUCGAGGGCAGCCCCGGUGGGAGAAAGAGGCCUACCGGUCUGAGCAAAGCUUCCAGCGAGAAGGGAGCCACGUGGAAUGUCCUGGAUGACCAGCCCAGGGCCUUCACCUUGCCACCCGAUGCCCAGAGUCCUGGCACCCUCGACAUGCCGGUGGGCCCACGGAGGAGAGAGUGCACGGUGCCCCUGGCCCCCAACUUUACCGCCAACAACAGGAGCAACAAGGGCGCCGUGGGCAACUGCGUCACCACCAUGGUGCACAACCACUACACCCCCUCGGAGAAGGUGCCGCCUCCCAAGAGCUCCAACCACAUGGCUCCCUCCCUCAACAACAUCAUCAAGGCAGCCACGGACGAGGGCGAGGGCAGCAGCCUCGGGAAGCCGCAAAAGAACGCGGCCCGUAGCAACCACACGGUCCAGAACAACUCGGGGGGCACCGCCGGCCAGCUCAGACGGAAGGAGGUGACCGAGGAGGAGGCUGAGAGGUUUAUCCACCAGGUGAACCAGGCCGCCAUCACCAUCCAGCGCUGGUACCGACAUCAAGUGCAACGGCGCCGAGCUGGAGCCGCCUGCCUGGAGCACCUGCUGGCGUCCAAGCAAGAGGGGCAGCGGCAGCGGCUAGGAGAGGGGACCCUCCUGGACCGGCACCAACAGAAGGAGGUGGCCAGGAGGAAGGCCCGGGAGGAGAAGGCGCGCCAGGCCCGGAGGGCAGCCAUCCAGGAACUGCAGCAGAAGCGAGCCCAGAAGUCAGGUAACGCUGACCUUGGGCUGCUGAAGGGGCCGGGGGAGCCGGGGAAGCCCCAGACCACCCAGGAGCCAAGCCUGAGGCCGGGGAGCGCCGCCCAGCAGACCCGCAAGGCCAAUAACACUGGGGCUGGCCUCUGCACUGCGGGCCCGGAGGACCCCUGCCAGCCUGCCCGCGACUCGUCGCCAGAGCCCCGGCAGCUUCCAGAGGACAAGCCUCAGGAUGCCAGCUCCCGGGACGUGGCUGGCGAGGGCCUGGAAGCUUUGGGCCCUGCUGGGAGCAGGGCCAAGUCCAGGGCAACCCUGGACGAGCUGCUGGACACGCUGAAGCUGCUGGAGCAGGAGCCUGAGCCGCUGCCCCGCCCCCAGGCCUACCACAAGGACAAAUACGCCUGGACUGACGAGGAGGACGAUUCCAGCUCCCUGACAGCCGACAACCUGGAGAAAUUUGGGAAGCUGAGUGUGGCUGCUUGCCCCCGCGAGGACGGGCCCCUGCUUUCGGAGGCCAAGCUGCAGAGUAUCAUGAGCUUCCUGGAUGAGAUGGAGAAGUCUGGGCAGGGCCUGCCGGCCUCGGCCCCCCAGGUGUGGAGGGGUCUCCAGGGGCCCGUGCCGGAGGAGGGGCUGGGGCGCCUGGAGCCUGCGUCCGAGGUCAGCACAUCGGUGAUGCGGCUGCAGCUGGAAGUGGAGGAGAAGAAGCAGGCGAUGGUGCUGUUGCAGAGGGCGCUGGCGCAGCAGCGCGACCUCACCAUCCGGCGGGUCAAAGAGACGGAGAAGGAGCUGGGUCGGCAGCUGCGGCAGCAGAAGGAGCACUACGAGGCCACCAUACAGCGGCACCUGUCCUUCAUCGACCAGGUGUUGAUCGAAGACAAGAAGGCUCUGGGUGAGAAGUGUGAGGCCCUGGUGGCCGAGCUGAAGCAGGGGGACCAGAGGCUCAAGGACAAGGAGGCCCAGAUGCGGGAGCAGCAUGAGCUGGAGAUUAAGAAACUCAAGGAACUCAUGAGCGCCACGGAAAAAGUCCGCAGGGAAAAGUGGAUCAAUGAGAAGACCCGGAAGAUCAAGGAGAUCACGGUCAAAGGCCUGGAGCCUGAGAUCCAGAAACUGAUCGCCAAGCACAAGCAGGAGGUGAAGAAGCUAAAGAGCCUGCACGCGGUGGAGCUGCUGCAGGCGGACGAGCGCGCGGCCCAGCGCUACGGACGCCAGGCGGAGGAGCUCCGCGAGCACCUGGAGCGGGAGAAGGAGGCGCUGGGCCGUCAGGAGUGGGAGCGUGCCCAGCAGCGCUUCGAGCAGCACCUGGAGCAGGAGCAGCGGGCGCUGCAGCAGCAUCGGCGGCGGCUCUACAACGAGGUGGCCGAGGAGAAGGAGCGGCUGGGCCAGCAGGCCGCCAGGCAGCGGGCGGAGCUGGACGAGCUGAGGCGGCAGCUGGAGGAGAGCAGCUCGGCAGGGGGCCGGGCCUUGAGGGCCGAGUUUGAGAAGGGGAGAGAGGAGCAGGAGCGCAGGCACCAGAUGGAACUGAAGGCCCUGAAGGACCAGCUGGAGGUGGAGAAACAGAUGUGGGAGGCCAACUCCGCCAAGAAGGAGGAAGCGUGGCUGCUGAACCGGGAACGGGAGCUGAAGGAAGAGAUCCGGAGAGGCCGGGACAAGGAGAUCGAGCUGGUCAUCCACCGGCUGGAGGCCGACAUGACGCUGGCCAGGGAGGAGAACGAGCGGGCCGCCGAGAGCCGGGUCAAACGCCUCCGGGAUAAGUAUGAGGCGGAGCUCUCAGAACUGGAACAGUCGGAGCGGAAGCUCCAGGAACGGUGCGCAGAGCUGAAGGGGCGCCUUGGGGAGGCCGAGGGGGAGAAUGUGCGUCUGCAGGGCCUGGUGCGGCAGAAGGAGAAGGAGCUGGCGGAUGUGAAGGCGGUAAAUGAGCAGCUGGCUGGCGAGCGCAGCAGCCUGGCCCAGGUCCUUCGCCAGGAGUUCGCUGACCGGCUGGCAGCUUCUGAGGAGGAGAACCGGCAGGUCAGGGCCGAGCUGGCCGAGCUGCGGGCCCGCCAGCGGCUGGAGCUGGAGCAGCUCACGCGGGAGAAGCAGGCGGAGCUGGAGGAGGUUCACGGGAGGGUGAAGCUGGCCCUGGCAAAGAAGGAGGAGGCCGUGAGCAGCCUCCGGAAGCAGCACGAGGCCGCGAUGAAGAGGGCCGACCACCUGGAGGAGCUGCUGGAGCAGCGCAGGCGGCCGUUCCCGAGUGCCAAGUGACCGCCGACAGCAGCAGGCUGAGGGCGACUGGCGGGAAGUGCUCUGGCCGCCCCUCAGGUGGAGCACCGAGGCUACGUCGUAACAGUAAAGAGGACACCCCCUGGAGGUGACAACCUGGAACCUGUGAGAAAUGG